rnacentral:rRNA from 1 species
CUACGGGAGGCUGCAGUGAGGAAUUUUGCGCAAUGGGGGCAACCCUGACGCAGCAACGCCGCGUGAGUGAAGAAGGCCUUUGGGUCGUAAAGCUCUGUCAACAGGGAAGAAGUUAUAAUUAUUUAAUAGAUAAUUGUAUUGACGGUACCUGUGGAGGAAGCGCCGGCUAACUCCGUGCCAGCAGCCGCGGUAACACGGGGGGCGCAAGCGUUAUUCGGAAUUAUUGGGCGUAAAGGGCGCGCAGGCGGUCUUGUCCGUCAGGUGUGAAAGCUCGGGGCUCAACCCCGGAAGUGCACUUGAAACAGGAAGACUUGAAUACGGGAGAGGAGAGAGGAAUUCCUGGUGUAGAGGUGAAAUUCGUAGAUAUCAGGAGGAACACCGAUGGCGAAGGCAUCUCUCUGGACCGAUAUUGACGCUGAGGCGCGAAGGCGUGGGUAGCGAACGGGAUUAGAUACCCGUGUAGUC